GAUGAACGCUAGCAACAGGAUUAACACAUGCAAGUCGAGGGACCGGCGCACGGUUGAGUAACACGUAUCCAACCUGACAUGUACUCGGGGAUAGCCUUUCGAAAGAAAGAUUAAUACCCGAUGUAAAGGAUGGGGAUGCGUUCCAUUAGGUUGUUGGUGAGGUAACGGCUCACCAAGCCUUGGAUGGAUAGGGGUUCUGAGAGGAAGGUCCCCCACAUUGGAACUGAGACACGGUCCACACUCCUACUGGAGGCAGCAGUGAGGAAUAGUGGUCAAUGUUCUUUAGCCUGAACCAGCCAAGUAGCGUGAAGUAUGAAGGCUUAUGGGUCGUAAACUUCUUUUAUAUAAGAAUAUGUAUUAUAUGGAUAAAGAUCGGCUAACUCCGUGCCAGCAGCCGCGGUAAUAC
rnacentral:rRNA from 1 species